UGUUUAAUGCAUUAAGCCUCAGCCCUGGAAAAGAAUAGCAUGUGGAUUUAAAAAAAAACCAGUCACUGUUUAUUUACACACUUGCUCGCGAGCGUUCACCGUCUUUGUUGAGGCGGCGGGUGUAAUGGAAGGACAAAACCGCAGCAGACUUGAGAAAAAGUUUGACAGGGUGUCUGUAUUUCAAGUGCACUCUCCCCUCGUGAAUCCCCAGCUGACGUGCAAUUAUAGAAUCAAAAUGUCAGUCGCAUUACAUUUGGAUUAGCCUUGUUGCCUCAACAAUUAACCAACUGUGGUGAAAAUAUAUUAUUAGCAUAACUAAAUGUCCCCUUUCGUCAUCCACAGUCAAAGUUCCAAACACAGUCUUGAAUUUUGGCUCAGCUCAUAGCAUGCUAAUGGCGCUAUUAAUUACUUUUCUGAGAAAAUCUCAAGCGUUUGCGGAGCAAUAGAUUAAUUGUGAUCGUGACCUGAAGAGCUGUCACCUUCGAUGUCAGGUAAAAGCACAAGGCAGCAUAUCGAGUCUUUUAUAUUAAACCUGAUGUUCUAUAAAUAGCAGUGCAUGUGUUCAUUCAUGCUGAAUGUAGUAAUUACAAGGAAUGGUAAAGCUAACACUGCUGGCAUCUACAUUUGACUCAUUGUAAUGAAGACAUGGUGGGUUCAAUUUGCCUGUUUUAGUCUACCUAAACCAACCUUUGUGAAAAUAAGAACAAGCAAAUGAAAAUAAACACAACAUUUGAGAUUUCCCCUGCAAACACUUUAUAUCAUUUUCUUAAUUAAUUGUGCUUUUCAACUCAUUUUACACACGAGAAACUUGGGACUGGCAUCAAAGUAACAGAUUAAAGCAAAACAAAAGAUUUCAGACUGGAAUCUGCUUCCAAACCACACGCAACUUCCAACAAACAGCUCUUCAGACAUUUUUGUACUUUGGCUCAAACAGUUUCAAAGACAUCAGCUUUGUACGCUGCAGUCGGAACAAAAAAAGCUUUCUGUGGCUUUGAUUUCAAAAUGUCACGGUACUCCAGUAUUGACAGUCUCACACAUCUGAAAACAAGCUUUUAGUCUGCAAACAAACGUCGGGAUGGUCGACACUAAAAUGGCAGCUGAAAGCGAUCAUUAUCUAGAAGUGAUUAAGCUACCCCGCCUCUCAGUAGCAUGUCAACGGCUGAGCAAUUACGUUGUCAAUUGGUGAGAGCUGUUUAUGAGACACAAUAUCAUCUGGUAGCAUCAGAACUACAACUUGACAUCAAGGCUGAGCUAAAAAAAAAAACAAAACACUGAAUUCUUUCUCACAAUUUGGAAUGACCGUGGCAGUAAAUGAAGCCAUCAACUUAACGGUGAGUCACUGGCUUCAAUGGUUUCAGCAUCUGUACACGGUCUCUGUAAGUCAAGUCAGACGUGUGGCAGAAAGCCUUGAGCCAUCUCUACAUGGCAUCUCAGAACUGCCACAGUGCCAGACCUCCACAUCGGCCUGAAAUAAUGUGAGAAGGAAUGCACUUGAACCGACGUUAGACGCACCUUUAGUAUCUGACUCUGCCUCUAUUUGUACCAUGUAGUGCAGGCAAGGCUAAUACCACAUGUGCAUGUAGAGCACACAAAUCCAUCAUUAUGCACCUGAAAGCGCUGGCUACACAGAGAAAAAGAAACACACUCAAAUCUGUUCAAGGCUAAAGGGUCUUAACAUCCAUCCCAGUAUAACAGCAAAGAAACCAAGGUUUCUGCUGAGGCUCCCCUCUGAAUGUUGCAAUUAUCUAAUCAGUAUUAGGCACAAAUUAAAUACAUGCAGCACUUCGGAGAUGAAGGCCAGCGGUGGAUGAAGGGAAGGGAAUUAGGAUGUAAAAUGAGUUGUGUUUGCUUAUGUAAAUGCAGACCACUAGAGUAUGCU